AACGCGAAGAACCUUACCUGGGCUCGAAAUGUAGUGGAAUCGGGUGGAAACAUCCGCGUCUCGCAAGAGACUGCUAUAUAGGUGCUGCAUGGCUGUCGUCAGCUCGUGUCGUGAGAUGUUGGGUUAAGUCCCGCAACGAGCGCAACCCUUGUCCUUAGUUGCCAUCAUUAAGUUGGGAACUCUAAGGAGACCGCCGGUGACAAACCGGAGGAAGGUGGGGAUGACGUCAAGUCAUCAUGGCCUUUAUGGCCGGGGCUACACACGUGCUACAAUGGCAGGUACAGAGGGAAGCCAACUCGCGAGAGGGAGCCAAUCCCAGAAAGCCUGUCGUAGUCCGGAUCGGAGUCUGCAACUCGACUCUGUGAAGUCGGAAUCGCUAGUAAUCGCAGAUCAGCAUUGCUGCGGUGAAUACGUUCCCGGGCCUUGUACACACCGCUAGUC
rnacentral:rRNA from 1 species